UGUUCUUUUUUUUUUUUUUACAAUAGGUGGGGAUGUUUGGGUGGAAAAUAAUAUCAUUGACACAUUUGCAAAACUGUUGAAUGAUGAUCGAGACCAGUGCGUAAAGUCGAACAUGAAAUUCUACUUUUCGACAAUUCCUUACAAUAUGCUGUUACAAAACGACGCAUAUGGUGGGACACAAGAUAGCCAAGGAACUGAGCAGAAGAGGUUUCAGAAUUUUGUGGAUUCCAUUAAGCAUGAAAUGUCAGUUGCAAAUGUUUCAUCUCUAAAGGGAUACCAUCUGGUAAAAAUGUUCUUUUUCUUUGCUAAAUGUUCUUUUUUUUUUUGGCUAAGUUGAUGUUCUUUUUUCUUUGCCUAAUGUUCUUUUCUGUUUUUGUAGUUGUUCUUUCCUGUCUGUUCUGGUGCACAUUUCUUCCUCAUUGUGAUAAAUAAUAAAACAAAGAAAGUUGAAAUUCUUGACAAUCUCGAUCUACCGGAGGGAAUACCUUUUGAGAACAAAUAUGAACAGAAUCCCCAAAAGACUUUUGAAGCAUGGUUGAAGUUUUGUGAGCUGGAAGGGUAUCCAUUAAAAAACACACAAAUCAAGCAAUAUGAAAUCACAUUACCUUCAAUGCCAUGGAAAAAUCGAGAAAACAAAGUCGACUGUGGGGUGUAUGCAAUGCGGCAUAUGGAGACAUAUAAAGGCAACCCGAAUUGGGAUUGUGGAUUUACAAAC